AACGGCAACGGCCACGGCAACGGCAACGGCAACGGCAACGGCUGCGGCGCGUUACUGCGGCAACGGCUCCCGGCGGGCGACCGCGGUGAGGGGCGGCGAGCGCAGCAAUAAAACAAAAUGUCAUCAUCAUCACAAUCAACCUCGUCUUUACCUGUACAUGACUGUACUUCUCCUUUAGCGGACUUUGAUCCUCAGGAAAAGUUUAUUCUUCCUCAUGCUACUGAGCUAAACAGUGAAAUCAUUGACACUUUGAUACAGAAGCUAAGUGAAAAUGAAACUCAAAAUACAAAUCUCAGGAAAAAAAUACUUGGAAGGGAGAAACAGAUUAGAGAACUUUCAUCCAUGCUUCAGUGUGAAAAAAUCAAUACACAGAAAGGAAACCACCUGUCAAGAUCAGUAAAGGAAGUACAAGCUCACCUGCAGUGUCAGAUUCGAAGAAAAGAAGCGGAAAAUGAUGAAUUAAAAGUAAAAAUACAGAAUCUAGAAAAGAAAAUAGCAAAGUGGAAACAUCAAGUUGGUGAAUACAAGCACCAGAAGUCAGCCUUAAAGGAAACAAGUGAACAAAACAAGAUUGCUCUGAAAAAAGCAAUGGGGUCCCAGAAACAAAGAGCUCAAUUCUUUGAAGAAGCUGCAAAAAAUUUAACCUCCAAAAUAAAAGAACACGAAGUCAAAUUGUGUGAGAUAUGGUCCACUGCUGAUGUCUGGAAAAACCAGUAUGAUAGAAUGCUUGAAGAAAAGACAACGUUAGAAAUUCAAACAGAAGAUUUUAAGAAUCAGAUCACAAGCCUGUUGGAAGAAUUGGAAAGAAGGAAGGAAUGGAGAAGAAACUCAGAGGAGGAAAUUCUCAGAAAGCUAAAUUCUGGUAACUCUGAAAAUGAAAAGAUUUACCUUGAAAAUGAAAAAUUAAAGGCUUCCAUUGCUACAUUGGAGAAAAGUACUGUUUCUGUUGAGCAUGAGCUGCUACAUCUGCAGGAAAAGGCAAAGCUGAAGGAAAAUCUUGUUGAACAGCAUAAAAAUGAGGUACAAAAGCUACAAAUAGCAGCAGAGGAAUUGAAAUCCAGGUAUGAAAGAGUCUUAAAUGAAAACAAAAAAAUAAUAGAAAACAAAUGCUUGGAAGAAGAUAAGUCUGAGUAUGAAUUUUCUUCAGCUUUUCUUUUCUGUGACAUCAGUUUCAAUGGUAGGGAUAGCAAUAGUGUAACUUCUAUGGGCAGUCUUUCCUUAGAAGAAGAGAACUGUAACAUUCAGAGGAAAUAUGAAGCUCUUAAAAGGCAAUUGGGAAAGAUGGAAUUUCAGAAUGAAGAACUUGCUUGUCAGCUCAGAACACAAGAUCAGAGUCUUCAGUGCAGUAAAUUGAAGCUUGAAGAGAAAAUUGCAGAAUAUAAUGCAUUAACCAGACAACUUGAAUCUGCUUUGGAAAAAGGGAGAAAAAUGGUAGCUGAAGAACAGGAAAAAAUGUUAUACAAAGAACAAGCCUUUCAGACAAAGCUGCUAGUUCUUGAAACUGAAGUGAGAGAGGGGAAAGAAGAAAAAAACCAACUCCUCUGCAUAUUUCACCAUAAUGAAAAGCACCAUGAAAUAUGUUUGAAAGAGCUGGAGAACAGCCUGCAGAAGUCAGAGAACAAGAACCAGAGCAUCCAGAAUUAUGUGCAGUUUUUGAAAGCUGCAUACAUAACAAUGUUUGGCUGAACUCUUUAACCUACUUUAAAGUGAAGAAACUUUUCAAGAUUUGGCUCUAAGGAAAAGCUGGAAGAAAAGCUUGUUGCAGUCUUACAGUAUUUUGCAGGAUUGAGUACUCUAAUGUUAGUUCUUCCCUAGGAAAAUGUCUGUUGUGGGCAGGGAGAAGCAGUGAAAGUUUCCUGUGGAUCGCUUUAAGGCUUAUAUAGCUCAAGCAUGGUUCUUAAGGCCAGAAAAGUGAGAGCACUGUGUUGAUGUCUGCUGAUUGUCAAAACCAUGAAAUUAUUGCAGUCAUGCAGGGGAAAAAAUCUGGAGAAAUCUGAAGAAAGAGCCAAACCUAGGAACUUUCAAGCAUUUGUGCAAAUCCUUUGCCAGAGUGCAAAAAAGAAAAAAUCAGGGUUUUUCCGUUUCAAAUAAAUUUCCUAUUUUUAUUAAGUUGUUUUAUUAAGAUUGUGGUUUAGGAGAAAUUUCACAUGGAUAUUUAUGAAGAGAUAUAAUCUUAUGAUGUCUCUACAGACAAAAGUGGAGCUCAAGUUCUCUAAGUGUCCAAUUAUUGUUCUGACAUUUACUGAUGUUAUUCCAACCCUUAGUAACCCACUGCAGUUAUACUCAGGCUCUGACAUAUUCUGAAGCACAUGGGAUGCAGAAAUAGACAUUUAAAUAUUUCUUUGUAUGCUUGUAUUUCUCGGGAGAUUUCCCCAAACAGGAGCAUUCAGAGGUGGCAGUCUUGCUGAUUUUUUUUUUGGUGUGUACAUAUAAUAAUGGAGGGGAAAUGUGGUUGUCUUCUGAUGACAUGUUUCUAGUAGACCCAUCAUCCAAACAUUGGAAACAAAAAGAAGCUCCACAGAGUGAAAUAAAUCCCAAUAACAGAAACAGAAACUCCAUGCUGCUGCAUAGCAGAAGAUAUCCUUUGAAUCCUGCUAGGGGCUGCUUAUUGAUGGCAUUCUUGACAUGGUUCCAAACUCCCAAACUUAGUGUUUAAGCAACUCACAUCUGCUAGGGGUACUGGGAACAGUGGUAUCAGCUUCAGUUCUUGUUUUUUGUAAAAUGCUGCUUGCUAGGUUUCAGCUCUUCUGGCCUCAAUCACCAAACUAAUGUCUGGAAAUAGGAAAAGUUUCAUAAAAUUAGUCUUGUUUCUUUCUAGUAAUCUAAUAAUUUUUCAGUUCUUGGCAUUAUAUCUGGCUUAGAAUGGUGAAUGUCAAGUUUUUAAUUUCUCUUCUGUCUUCUCACUGUUUUUAAUGAACUACAAUUCUGUGUUAAAAUAGGAACUUUGUUCCGUCUGUCCACUUCUGCCCAUUUUGGAGCACUUUUCAGUGUCUCAUAAUGAAAAAUUGUGUCUCUUUCUGUGAAGGUGUCUUUUGAACAGUCAAACAAAGUAGAAAAUUUUCAAGUGCCCAAGAAUGAUUUUUCACAAUCCCUCUAAGCAUCCUAUCUUAUUGUGCUUUUUGGCAAACUCUCAUUACUUGGUUCAAUCACACUCCACAGUUUCAAAAGGACACCUAGGUGAUGUGCUUGUCCUUUCUUUGAACAACAUUGCAACUCUUUAAGUGACUUCUUUCCUUCAAACUUUUUUCCAGGUAGAAACAAACAUAGUUUUUUAUAAUUUUCUAAAACCUAUUUUGGAAGUCAGAUCAUAAUUAUGUUGGAGAUACAUUUGCACGCAUUAGCCUAAUGCCUGAGUUUUCUAUUCACUGCAGCUGCAACAGUCCAAGUGAAGACAUAAUUUAGCCCCAAGACUUGUUACUCAUUUCCAUUUUGUCUUUGCUUUGCAUCUUGGUAUUCACUUCAGCUGUGGAAGUUUCAGAAACUCCAGAUGAUGUACUUCAUGAGGAUUAUACAACUCAACAGUGAAGACUUUGUUUUGAAUAACCAUUUCAUUUUCUUCAAAAAUGGCACAUUGCAAUGACAGCUGUAAUUUGGCCAAUCAAGUACCAGAAACAUGGCAAUCAUGCCAAAAAGGUGUCAGUGUGAACUCAGUAAUUAUUCUCUGGUGAUAAUUUUCCUAUUUGCCUCUAGCACAAGUAGCCCAAAUCUUACAGGAAGAUUACAAUAGCAACUGCCCCCCUUCAAACUGUUCUCUACCAAUCUCCUUAUUUAUUCAGAAACAUCCUAAAUUUACUGGGUUUUCCUUUUUUUUUGGCAAAAACUUAUGUUUUGAAGUCUUAUUAGUCUCACAGUAUCAUUUACUCAAAUAGGGGAAAAGUGUGCUUUAUGGUAACUAUUACCUCCUGGAUAAAUAUCAAUUUCUAGUAGUGAAUCUCAUACUUCAUUUUACAUGUCAGACUUCACUUCCCAAAAUAUGGAGAUGCAUCUGAGAACUGUACACUACAUGUGGUCAAAUUAUUUAAAGGUAUGUUCAAGGUUGCCAGAUUUGAUUCCAGAUUUUAGUGAUUUGACAUCCACUUUGAUCUAGGAUGAUAUAAAUUGAGUACUUCCAACAGCAGAUCAAAAUGAACACUCGUAUACAUUGGCAAAGUCAUGUGAAAGAGCAUGUGGAUUACAGAUAUCCUUCCAAGAUGAAUGCCCAACCACUAUGUUUUGGAUGGAUGGCUAGAUGUGAAAUGGAUAGUUCUAGGUGCAAUAUCUGACUGCACUGUCAGGUUGCUCCGAGAAUGAGAUUAUUUCUUUUUUGACAGAUGAGGCUUCUGGUGGGGUAUGUGAGAUGCAAUCAGACUUUCUGCAUUAUCUUACCAUUUCAUGUAUUUGAUUAGCCAUGAAGAAGCUUAAGUUCUUGAAUGUAAAAAUCUGGAAUUAAUUAUCCUUGCUUAACAUUUAUCACACUGGAACGGAUUAAUCGUCCUUUGAACUAGAUUGUUUCCAUACCAAUACAUUACUCAAGAUCAACUUGGGCUUAUCAAAACUUUAUUAAAUAAAAAGCCGUAGGCCAAUUAAAGAGGCUUUUUGGGUCACUACCAGCCUCAGACAUUUCCUUCAAAGCAAUAAAAUGCUAUCACUACACUACUCUGUUUAUUCUGCCCCUUCAAUGGCUUUUGAUGGUGUCCUGGUUGUUCACUGAAGGUGCUCCCAGCCACUGCAGCAGAGAGUGUGUUUCCAGUGCUUAGAGAUGGAGGCACACGUGGUGACAAUUUCCAGUCCCACAUUUGUAUAAGAAAUGUGUGGGCAUAUAACACAUUCCAGGCAUGCACACAAGCUUGCAAAAAAAGGGAGUUGUGAGCAAAGUGAGAGUGUGAAUGUUCAUGGUUGCAGCUAUUGUGCCCUCAUGUUGAAAUAUGCUCCUUUUCUCCAGCAUGCCCACUAUUCCUGGAUAAAUGAAAUAGGACUCUCGUACAGGAAUACCUUAGAAUGCUUGGUUUCAUUCCUCAACUUCGUCUCCCUUCCUUUUUUAAAAAUAAUAUUUGUGCACUGUUUCAUGGGAAAAGAAACUCCAUGGGAACUUCAGCAUCUUUAUUUUGAGGUUCUAUGCAAGUUCUUCCACACAUCCUCAGACAUGUUGCUGUUCUUAGUUGAGAAGAAACAAAGACAAAAAGGCAUCAAACUGGAAAAAAAGGGACUACAGGGAUGCAAAAAGAACAGAAAAUCCUGCAGAAGACCAAAUGCCCACUUGUCAAACUACUGAAGUAGAUCCAGUAAAAGUGCUGGUGAGAGAUAUGAACACUCAUAUUCCUAGUGAACUCUGUUUUACCCUUGAGAAACUGUUCUGUCCCACCAAAGACAUCUUCUGUGUCCCAGGCACAGCCAGCCAUGGUAAACAAAAAACCCCAAGUCGCUCUUCCUGCCUUGAGGAUCACGUAGAUCUGGAACAGUCUGAGCAGCCCUUUGCUCUUAUUUGGCACAGGAUAUUCUGUCCCUUGCAUCAUCAGUGGUGGUUGGGAAGUUUUCCUCAAGGAAGGACAGUUUGCUUCAAUCUGAAGAGCUUCUUUGCCUUCCUCAUAGUUUCAAAUAGACUUUCAGAGCUGGAGAGCUUGUGAAGCAGAGUAAACCAGACAAAGCAGAUGUAUCUCUGUACUGUUUUGUUGACAAGGAGUUUCAUUGCAGUCAGUAAGACCAGGAACCAGCCUCAAAAAUAAAUACUGGAUACAAAAUCAGCCCUCAAAAAUAAAUACACUUGGCUAAACCUAGAACCUUGGUUUCUUUCUUCCCAUCCCCAAGAAAACCCAAAUUUUGAGGAAUUUUUACAUUUUUCAAUCACAGCCAUGUGUUAGGCGCUCAGUGGACAUGUAAUGCACACACACAAGAUCCAGUUUAUACCUUGGAAAAUGUUGGUAUAACUUUUCUUUUAAAAAAAAUAUUGUCAUUCAAUACAACCUUGGGAAUGAUUUCUAUGCUCUCUUCAGCUGUGUGCUUGUGCCAGUAGUUCUCUUCAAAAUGUACCUCUAGCUGUCCAAAAGCAGAAAUACAACAGACUAGGAAUGAACCUACAUCCCUGUGGCUGCUGGUUUGUUACUCUCAUCCCUGAAUGUUUUGUUUGUCAUGGAAUUGCUCAUAAAAGCUACUGCUUUCUACACAGCUCGACAGUCUGCCUCACCCAUAGUCAUUUGCUCCUGAAUCCCCAGCUCCUUUCUGCAGGUAGCUUUUGCAGAGAUGUUUGACCGAAAAUACAGUCAAUAACGGGCUUUUGUUGCUACCCUCAGUCAGUAGAGGCAUAUCCUUGGUCCUUUGGCUAUCAGCUAGGGACAGCUCCAUAUUAGAUGAAACUUGCAUCUUUUUAAA